rnacentral:tRNA from 1 species
GGGACGGUAGCUCAGUCUGGGAGAGCGCUAGACUGAAGAUCUAGAUGUCGGGGGUUCAAAUCCCCCUCGUCCCA